AACGCUAGCUACAGGCUUAACACAUGCAAGUCGAGGGGCAGCACGGGAGUAGCAAUACAACUGGUGGCGACCGGCGCACGGGUGAGUAACGCGUAUGCAACCUACCUAUCAGAGGGGAAUAACCCGGCGAAAGUCGGACUAAUACCGCAUAAAACAGGGGCACCGCAUGGUGAUAUUUGUUAAAGAAAUUCGCUGAUAGAUGGGCAUGCGUUCCAUUAGGUAGUUGGUGAGGUAACGGCUCACCAAGCCGACGAUGGAUAGGGGAACUGAGAGGUUGGUCCCCCACACUGGUACUGAGACACGGACCAGACUCCUACGGGAGGCAGCAGUGAGGAAUAUUGGUCAAUGGGCGAGAGCCUGAACCAGCCAAGUCGCGUGAAGGAAGAAGGAUCUAUGGUUCGUAAACUUCUUUUGCAGGGGAAUAAAGUGCAGGACGUGUCCUGUUUUGUAUGUACCCUGAGAAUAAGGAUCGGCUAACUCCGUGCCAGCAGCCGCGGUAAUACGGAGGAUCCGAGCGUUAUCCGGAUUUAUUGGGUUUAAAGGGUGCGUAGGUGGUUUGAUAAGUCAGCGGUGAAAGUUUGCAGCUUAACUGUAAAAAUGCCGUUGAAACUGUCGGACUUGAGUGUAAAUGAGGUAGGCGGAAUGCGUGGUGUAGCGGUGAAAUGCUUAGAUAUCACGAAGAACUCCGAUUG
rnacentral:rRNA from 1 species